GACGAACGCUGGCGGCGUGCUUAACACAUGCAAGUCGAACGAAGAGCGAUGGAAGCUUGCUUCUAUCAAUCUUAGUGGCGAACGGGUGAGUAACGCGUAAUCAACCUGCCCUUCAGAGGGGGACAACAGUUGGAAACGACUGCUAAUACCGCAUACGAUCUAAUCUCGGCAUCGAGGAUAGAUGAAAGGUGGCCUCUACAUGUAAGCUAUCACUGAAGGAGGGGAUUGCGUCUGAUUAGCUAGUUGAAGGGGUAACGGCCCACCAAGGCGAUGAUCAGUAGCCGGUCUGAGAGGAUGAACGGCCACAUUGGGACUGAGACACGGCCCAGACCCCUACGGGAGGCAGCAGUGGGGAAUCUUCCGCAAUGGACGAAAGUCUGACGGAGCAACGCCGCGUGAGUGAUGACGGCCUUCGGGUUGUAAAGCUCUGUUAAUCGGGACGAAAGGCCUUCUUGCGAAUAGUGAGAAGGAUUGACGGUACCGGAAGAGAAAGCCACGGCUAACUACGUG
rnacentral:rRNA from 1 species